rnacentral:rRNA from 1 species
AGGAAAUGCUCAUACUUUGACGGUACCGACAGAAUAAGCACCGGCAAACUCUGUGCCAGCAGCCGCGGUAAUACAGAGGGUGCAAGCGUUAAUCGGAGUUACUGGGCGUAAAGGGCGCGUAGGCGGUGAGAUGUGUGUGAUGUGAAAGCCCCGGGCUUAACCUGGGAAGUGCAUCGCAAACUAUCUGACUGGAGUAUAUGAGAGGGUGGCGGAAUUUCCGGUGUAGCGGUGAAAUGCGUAGAGAUCGGAAGGAACGUCAAUGGCGAAGGCAGCCACCUGGCAUAAUACUGACGCUGAGGCGCGAAAGCGUGGGGAGCGAACAGGAUUAGAUACCCUGGUAGUCCACGCCGUAAACGAUGAGAACUAGAUGUUGGUUGGGGAACCAAUCAGUAUCGAAGCUAACGCGAUAAGUUCUCCGCCUGGGAAGUACGGCCGCAAGGUUGAAACUCAAAUGAAUUGACGGGGGCCCGCACAAGCGGUGGAGCAUGUGGUUUAAUUCGAUGCAACGCGAAGAACCUUACCUACCCUUGACAUCCUGCGAAUCCUGUAGAGAUAUGGGAGUGCCGAAAGGAACGCAGAGACAGGUGCUGCAUGGCUGUCGUCAGCUCGUGUUGUGAGAUGUUGGGUUAAGUCCCGUAACGAGCGCAACCCUUGUCCUUAGUUGCCAGCAAGUAAAGUUGGGGACUCUAAGGAGACCGCCGGUGAUGAACCGGAGGAAGGCGGGGACGACGUCAAGUCAUCAUGGCCCUUAUGGGUAGGGCUACACACGUGCUACAAUGGGGCGUACAGAGGGUAGCCAACCCGCGAGGGGGAGCCAAUCUCUUAAAGCGUCUCGUAGUCCGGAUUGGAGUCUGCAACUCGACUCCAUGAAGUUGGAAUCGCUAGUAAUCGCGAAUCAGCAACGUCGCGGUGAAUACGUUCCCGGGCCU